rnacentral:ncRNA from 1 species
GUGGUUCCGAACACGUUCGGCCAAGAGGGAAUGCCGUGAAAUUCGGCAACAGUUCCCGCUGCUGUAAGUCCAUUUAUGCUUGCAAACAUCACCGCCACUGCGCUCCUGUUGCGUGGGAAGGCGUUUGUCAAGCGGACAAAGUCAGAAGACCUGCCACUUUU